AGUCGAGCGCACUCUUUUAGAGUGAGCGGCAAACGGGUGAGUAACGCGUGGGAAUCUACCCAUCUCUACGGAAUAACACAGAGAAAUUUGUGCUAAUACCGUAUACGUCCUAUUGGAGAAAGAUUUAUCGGAGAUGGAUGAGCCCGCGUUGGAUUAGCUAGUUGGUGAGGUAACGGCUCACCAAGGCGACGAUCCAUAGCUGGUCUGAGAGGAUGAUCAGCCACACUGGGACUGAGACACGGCCCAGACUCCUACGGGAGGCAGCAGUGGGGAAUAUUGGACAAUGGGGGCAACCCUGAUCCAGCCAUGCCGCGUGAGUGAUGAAG
rnacentral:rRNA from 1 species